ACUCAAAUGCCAAGUCAGGAAAGAAACGGAACUUUAUUCAGUACUUCAACUCAGCAUUGGAAAAUAAUGAUCUUUUUGGAAUUUUGGAUUUUCAACCAGCUGAUGAAGCUGAGAUGGAUGAGAUUGAAGCUGUUGCUGAGCUUGCUAAAAGAUGUCUGAAUAGCAUAGGAGUAAACCGCCCAUCCAUGAAGGAAGUGUCAGAGGAGCUUGCUAAGCUGAAAUCCCUUAAUCAGAAAUCAUGGGCCCAGCAAAAUAGCGAUGAGACAGAGCACUUGCUAGGCCAAUCAUCACAAUCUUUCCGCAACAACGCAAGUCCUCCAACGAGUCAAUCCCAAACUGUCAUAUCCUUCGAGAUUGAAAACUACACCGAUAGCAUUUAAAAUUGGAAUUCGCCAAGGAAACAUGCUGCACUUUCGGAAGGCCAAGAAAUUGUUGUCAAGCGUGUACUAAAUAGUUUGUUUGAUUAAGUUGCAGCUUUAUUGGUAGUGAUUGAGUAUUAUUGUCUCCAGGAUCCUGUAAGCUUAACAUGUUUCUGGAUUUAUCAUUUCUUUUUUCAUCAUGUAAAGUAAAAAUUGUGGGUUUACAGGAUAAAGAUCAUAAUAAAGCGAUUAAUUUACCUUGCAUGGUAGAUUUUGUGGAACCAUGGACCGAAAUGCCAUUCCUGAGAUGUGAUAUAAAGAUCAUAAUAAAGCGAUCAACAUGAUUUAGGACGAUACUAGACCAAUUCAACGUAGCACUUAAUUUGGACUUUGUGAUUGUAGCGGACUUUCUGGACUUCAAUAAGGAAUGCAUCUUAGGUUCACUUAUUCAAGGACUUGCAUUCUCAUGGAGAGGAGUGAUGAUUUGCCUGGCUAAGAUUAUAUCUCCACUAUUUUUCUGACCGCACAAGCAUUCAUGAAGUGCUGUUAGCCUAGAUAACUCGUCAGAUACUUCAUGCUUGGCCUAUUUACACCCUGCUAUUUGUGCAUCUUUUUUGCAAGCCCAGCAACCAUUUCUAUCUCCUCCGGUUCUUCUUUAGCUACCUCAAAAUCUAAAAUUUUAAGGAGAUGAUUGUUUUCCAAUGAUGAGAUGAAAAUGAUGUUACGCUUCUCUCCAGGCAUUAGAGUUUGGCUUAUGUCCUGUCAGAAGUUCCACGAGAACUGCUCCGAAGCUGAAGACAUCACUCUUUACUGUUAAAUUACCUGUCAUAAGACACUCACUAUCCAGGUAGCCAAAAUUCCCCAUUAUUUUUGUGGCUAUAUCAGCUUCACCUGGUGAAAUCAGCUCUGAAGCUCCAAAAUCAGCUCCGGAAGUAUGUUCACUGUCUUGACAUCCCCAUGAACGAUUGGAGAGUUUGCUAAAGAACGCAAAUAAUCAAAGUGCAAGUGCAGUCCCAGCAGCUACUCUCAAACGGUUUGUCCGAGUUCUCAACACUUGAGACUUUUAUCAUGGAUAUGAUGAAAAGUGUGAUGUUUUGUAUUAAAGGGAUAGGAAAAGCCUAGAAAGCCCUUGAAGGCUUAGAUGUAGGAAUAAAUUAAAUAAGGGUAUAGUAGUAACUAGAUAAAUAAUUGAUAAAUAUAAAUAGGAAGUAAAAAAAAAAAAAAAAAAAGGGAAAGUGAUCUGAAAUUAGAGAGCAGAACCGUGAGAGAGAAGAGAGAAAGAAGAAGAAGAGAAAAGAAGGGAAAAUAAGGGAAAAAGGAAGAGUUUUGGAGGAAAUAAGUGAAAAAGGUAAGAUUUAGGUUGUUUAAUGUGUAUAAUAUGUUAAUUAAGCUUUAAUUACAGUUUUUAUGAAUGUUAGGGUUUUGAGAAUUUGUGUUUGAUUUAAAUUGAUGAAUUAAUUUGAAGGUUAUAAGGUUAAUUGUUGUGGUUAAUUGAUGAUUUAGUUGAUUAUGGAAGAUUAUGAUGAUUUUGAGUUAUAGAAUUGUGUAAAUGGUGAAAAUUGAGUUAGAAAUCAGGGGAGAACAGUGGGGUUUCUGUUAAAAUCUGGAUUGGAGGUUGAAGAUGACGAAAAUUCAAUUUGGUCCCUCAAUUUCUGAAAAUUUCAGUUUAGUCCUCCAAUUUGACAAAAAGUACGAUUUGACCCUAAAAAUUUAGUAAAAUUCCAGAAUGAUCCCUGAAGCAUAAUGAUACAUCCUGGACAGAAUUGAGGAUUAAUUAAGGUCAGAAUUUCAGUAUAUUCAUGGAUUUAUGACAAAUUUCAGUUUGGUCCUCCAUUUGACAAAAGUUACAAUUUGGCCCUAAAAAUAUGGAAAAAUUCCAGAUUAGUCCCUAGCUGUAAUAUUAGCUUUUGCAGAUUAGUUUGAUGAAUAAUUAAGGGUUAUUUAGUGAAUUAUUACCAAUUUUAUUAGUUGUUUUUAUUAUGGAUUAGAUUUCGGGAAAACCGUUAGAUUUUGGGUUUUUAAGAAAAUUGACUAGUUAGUUCAAAAAAUAUAGGGUUACGAAUACACCCUUAGUUAAGUGUAUUAAAUAGAUUAAAUGUUCUUUCGAGUCGUUUUUGAAUAUGUCUCCUUUGUAUUCAGAUAAUCCUGAUAUUCUACCGGCAGGACGUCAGUAGAAUUUCCUUCGGUUUCAGCUUGUGUGUGUGUUUGCUUUUGAGUCAGGUGAGUGGAUAAUUUUCCAUAUGCAUGAGAAAUAUUAUAAAUAUUUGAUUUGUUAAUAUGAAUUGGAUCAUGCUUCUUGAUAAUAUAUAUGCUGAUUAUUAUCCUUGAUAUGAUAAAGCAUGAUCAAUUAUUGAAUCUGAUUUCUUGAUAUGAACCAAUAUGAUUUGACUUCUGAAUUGAUAGCUCCUCAUUUGAUGGAUGUCAUGAGUUGAGCUUUGAGAUAUGAAUAUGUUUGUUUGAUUAUGAUUAUGAACCUAUGGUAUGUCAGUCAGAAUACCCAUGCUAACAGGGUAGUGUUAGUCUUUGUGCACAUCGUAUCUGAACCCUAGUUGGUCGGGGGAGUCACCAACCUGUGUGGACUGAUCAUCCCACAGUACGGAGCCUCAUGCUCAUUGCAUUUUGAUUUUCUGACGAGUUUUACCAUAUGAUAUUCUUGUUAUGGCCUAUUUGAUAAACCUUCGUAUAAGAACUAAAGCCAUACUUGUAUAUAUAUUUCUCAUUGUUAUAUUACCUCGUAUGUGUAUAUUGAAUGUUAUCUAUUCACUGAGUUGUUGAACUCACCCUCUCAUUAUUUAUUCUUUUCAGGCUUAUAGCUUGAUAGCAGGUUACUUUUGUUGAACCUUCCGAACCUACCUUUUGGUUGUAAUUUGUACCUUCCUUUUGUGUCAAGUUAGUGCUCCAAAACUAUGAAAUUAUUAACUCUUGUAUUAAGACAAUCGAAUUAUAUUAUGAAGUUGUUUGUUGUUAAUACUGCGUUAAACUCUGAUUGAGUUGUUUCAAGGAUUGUAUGUAAGUUUGGGUUCACAUAGGUUUGGAACCUUAGAGGGGAACCUUGCCUAUGUGCCGGUCAUGGAUCCGGGAUUCGGGUCGUGACAAAAAAGGGUUCCGUUAGAGAUGAAUUUGUAAACUAGUAAAGGCUCUUUGGUCUGCAAAAGUAGUCCGAGUAGCUUUUAACCACGUUCUUGCGAUUGACUUGUAGCCAAUUUCUUGCUGAAAUUCCUUGUUCAUUUGAGCCUUGUCUACUCCCUUAAACUUCUUGACUGCAAGUUGGGUAUAAUAUGGUAAAACUCCUUUGUAUACGCAGCCAAAACCACCUUGGCCAAGUUUCUGGUGAUCAUCAUAAUUGUUCGUUGCUUUUGCCACCUCUGUUCUCAUACUAGGAGUAGGGUGUGUGUGUGUGUGUAGGGACGGAUCAAUUAAUAUAUAAUCUACAAUUAUAGGGAAAAACUUAUCAAAACUGUUAAUAGAUGUAUCUUUGAAGCAUAAAAGGUGAAUUUAUCUAAUCACAAGAAUCUCAAAUCCAAAUGUUUGUUUAUAAAGAAGUUAUUUUGAUUUUUUUCCGCAUGUUAAGAAAUUCAGCAUGGGGUAGUAGUGAAUCAAAGGAUAACUGCAUUUACAUGUAGAAUCCAAGAAUUAAUGUGUGCUAGCUGCCCGGAGGGCUGAAGACUAGAUUACCUGAAGCUACUGUGGCGAUACCGCAGAUGACCAUCUUCUUUAGUUCUGAUAUAAUAUUGCCUUGAUCAAUGAGGCAACCUUUCAAAGAUACUGUGGCACAAUCUUUUAAAAUAUGAUUUUCCAAGAUUUUUCUUCAACUAUACUAUUUUCCUAAUAAAAUUUUUCUUUCAACAAUACUAUUUCACCAAAUAAGUUAGUACCUAAUCAUGCAAUCUAUCAAAAAAUAACAAGUUUCUAGCUAACAUAACUCCUAUGUUAUGGCAUGCAAUGGAUAGACAUAUCAAAUCAACAAUCUCCAUACUAGCUGAAACUUCAAACAACAAUCUGUUCACAAAAAGAAAAACAAAGCAAAAAUCAUGACUCCGCUAAAUGUCUUGGAACAUUACAUGACAUGCUGAAACCUAUCGUUGUUCAAAAGCAGAUUUUCUAGCUAGCAUUGACAGGCUUAGUAGUGAGUCCAAAAUCAUAGGAGAAGAGGGGAUCGUAAUGAGAGUCACCAACAUUCAUAUGGAGCUGAUCAACGGUCUUGAACCAAGUCCGGGGUAAAAGGGAAAGUCUUCAAUCAGGUGCAUCACUGCCCUUUAAUCCUGCAAAUCAUAGCUGCAACACAAGCCUGCAAUCAGGAACAAGAGAUAACACUCUGCCUUGAAUUAUGCAGAAUACAUCAAGGCUGCAAUUGUGGUUAUUAUUUAUUGUAACAACUGUGUAAUAUAGAAACAACGGUUAUAGUAGCUAUCCAGGUACAGCAGCUAUAAUUUCGGCCAGAAACUUGUUCUUCAAAAAUCAAACAAUGACAGUGUAUAUAAAUUUAUCAAGCAAUGUAUGAAAACUCAGGCGAGAAUAAUAAGAGAAUAUCAAAACUUAUCAAGUGCUCUUUCCUCUUUACGGGGCAGCUUUCCAGUGAAUCCAUCAUCCCCGAAAAGCACAUCUGCUACUCCUUGGCCUUCAGUGCCUGGCAACCAAGCAGCAACAAGAGCAUCGAUUAUUGACUCAGGGCUCAAUCACGACUGGACGACCAGAUACUGUGACAACAACGCACUUAACAUUGCCGCGGACAUUGAGGAUCGUCCUUGGACCUGGUUCAGCUAUGGUCAGGUUCAAACUGUCUCCAGCUGUCUCGGCAUAAGGAGUCUCUCCGACCACAACAAUGGCAUAAGAGAAGUUGUUGGACUUGACGAAAUCAGCAUCAGGGUUCUUGCUGUAAAUGAUUUCUGUGCUUGGAUCUACUGCGGCUGAGAUACCACUUAAGAUGGUGGUUCCGGCUCAUUGUGCGAUAGGACAAACUCCAUCAAUACUCCUACUAUUAUAUUUGAAUUCAAGAGAAGCGUGCUUGAAAUGGAAGCAAAAGGGAGAAGCAGUUAUACCAGCAGUGUAAUUGUUGCCAUCAACGCCUUGCCAAGUUGCAGUCCAUCCUCCACACUGAUAGCCCAGAUUGGUGGCAUGGCUUGCGGCUACAAGGAUCCAAGAUGCUUUUUUAGGGAGGGGUAGAACUGGAGCAUCCGCGUUCUCUCCAUUCUUCAGCAGCACAAGGAUCAAAGAAAGGACUCACAAGACUUCAUUGACCUGAUCAUCUCAGAAUUGGUCAUAUGAUAAGUAUUUUCUGUCAGUCUCUCUUUGCUAUAUAUUGUCUACCAGGAAAUGAAGUUGCACAAUUAAAAAUUAGCGGGAGAGAGUUGGUUUGGAGAAGGAGCUUCUUUGUAUACAUAUAUUAAGUUGGGUGGUGGUGUAUAGAAAAUGAUGCUUCAGAGGUGGGUGAUUUUGCUGAUGAUGUUGCUACUAGUGGCUGCAGUAACAGGAGCAACAGCAAAUCCAGAUGUGAAACCUGGCUGCCAAGAAAGGUGUGGGGAUGUUAUUGUUCCUUACCCGUUUGGGAUUGGGGAACAAAGAUGCGCCAUGAAUAAACACUUCUUUCUAAAUUGCACUUCUACUGAUAAUGGUCAUCAUGAACUGUGGUUUGGAGAGAACAUGCCUGCUCGCAAUACAUCAUUGCUGAAUGGCACAGUCACUGUAAGCAUUUUUACACCGUUCGAUUGCUAUGACAAGUCAGGGAUGCAGUCGCUGCUUUUCAAUCAGUCUAUUACACUUGGACCAGCCUACACAUUUUCAGACUCUCGAAAUGUGUUCACAGCAGUUGGUUGUGAUACAAUUUCCAUGGUGACCAACGAGGAGGAGAUAUCCGGCGAUGCUUGUCUCUCUUUAUGCACUGUAAAUGUUACCAUGUCCAAGGAGAAUCCCUGCUCAGGUUCUGGAUGCUGCCAGACCUCGAUUCCCAAGGGUCUCAAGUCUCUGUAUAUUACCAUUCAGAGCAUUCGCAACCACACGGAUGUUUCCGAAUUUAACCCUUGUGGCUUUGCUUUCCUUGAGGAUACUCCCUUGACCUGUCGGAUUGGCAACUCUCUCGUACUCUAAAACCUUAAUAUACAUCAAAUGUUGUGAUCGAAUGGGUAGCUCAAACCGAGACAUGCUAAGAGGCUCGGGCCAAUAAGAGUUCAUAUGCUUGUGGCAUCAAUAUAAAUUGCUACUAUACUCCGAUAAUGGUCAAGGAUAUCGCUGCGCAUGCAAAGCAGGAUUCGAAGGAAACCCAUAGAUAUGAAAAAGGAUGCCAAGGUAAAGUGACAGAUGCCUUCAGUAGUGAAGUGAUUGAAAUUAAAAGACUGUUCAUUUUUCUUCUCAGAUAUCCGUAGUCCUGCAUGCCAGAACUUCUUAGAACUUUUACUCGUGUUGAAUCAAAGGUAAAUUCAUAAUUUGUUAUGUUGACAGAUAUCGAUGAGUGCAAGGAUGCCGGCAAGAGACACCCAUGCCAUGGUAAAUGCCACAACACCUUUGGGGAUUACGAAUGUAAAUGUUUUUUUUUUUUAAUUAACAUGGGUUGGGACUACUUUGUGUUCCCAUUAACUAAUUUCAUUAUAUAAAAUUUUAAUGAUUCCAAAAAAAUUCAAACCCGUAAUUCUUCGAAAACAAAUUCAAGGUUUGGCAUCAUCACAAUUAUUAUUUCAGGUAAUUAAUGUGCAUGCACUUCAAUACGUGGCAGGGCAGUGGCAGUGGCAGAUGUUCCUUGUUUUUCAAAUAUCCUAUAUGGAGGGCGGAGCUAGAAUUAUUUGUUAGGGGUCAUAAUUAAUAUAAUAAAAUAUAAUAUUUAUUUGACUUUAUUGUACAUGAGUUGUAAAAAAACCUGUAUAAUUUAAUUUUAUUCAAAUAACUUACUAUAAACAUAUAAUUAUCUUUGUAUGAGGUAAAAGGUUUGAAGAAAUAUCAAAUUGAGUCAAAGUAACGAAGUUAAUUUCAUCUUCAUAAUAUAUUCAUCACUUUAAUGUUAGUCUUUAUAUCUAUCAAAUAUAAACAUACAAAGUAUAUAAGAAACAUUAGCUAAAACGAAGUAUUAUUUAUGUUUGAUAAACUUUGAAAUAAAGCAAAAAAUAAUAAAGAGUUAUUCUCACUAAUCAACGCGGGUUCUUUGUAAACUGAGACGCAUUGGAGUUGCUCAAUCAUAACUUUAACAUUACACAUUGGAGUUGGUUCACUAGGCUGCGAGUUAUCAAUAUUUGUUUUGAAAAAAAAUAAAAUUCUUCUUAUUUUGUUCAUGGUUCAAUCUAAAAUCAAAACAUAUAUCGUGAGAAAAAAUUGAUAAUUUUGAUGAUUCUGCUAAAAACAUAGCAUAAAAAAAAAUUAAAGUAUAAUCAAAACAAACCAAUGAAAUAUAUCUAAUGAAUUAAAAAAAAACAAUAUAACAAGAAUUCAAAAAACAAUUGGUAAAAUUAGCAGAUCUAAGAAAAAAAUAAAGCAAAAAUGGUAGAAUUAUAUAAAAAAAAAACCUCAUCAAAUUAUUAACAAACAUCUCAAAAUAAAAUAAAAAUAGAUUUUAAAUUUAAAUUACCUUAUUUUGUUUAAUGAAAAAUAAAUUAAUUGAUGGCUCUAUUUCAAUUUUUUCAUUGAAAAUUUUUACUUAUGAUUUAUAUUUUUAUUUUUGUUUUUGACCGACUGCAAAAUUUAUUGUGCAAAGUAAUGAAUUUAUAUUUAUAGAAUUUAUAUUAGGAUACGUAAAUUAAUUUUUUUAAAAAUCAAAUUAAAAAAUCACAUUUAAUUAAAGUAAAAAAACUUUUGUAAAAUAAAAAACUUCAUCCACACUUAAUUACCUCUAUAUAUAUAUUCUCUAUACGUCUCUUUCCCUUCUCUGUAUCACUCUUGCCUGCAACAACUAUUAAUACGAGACUUGGAAUAGAAAUUCAAGUCAAGUGAUGUCCAUCAUCCAAUUUUUCCAGGGGCGGUAUAUAUAUAUUAUACCGGGGCGGAAUAUUUUAGGGGGACCCGGGCCCUGCUUAAACCCCCCCCCCCCAUGUAAUUUAUUAAUGAAUCCAUCCAUCCACCCAAAAGUCCAAAACAAUAAGCUGGCCAUCAUUUACUAGGGCUUUGCCUUUUGGGUUCAAAACAAAAGUACCGAACUAGUUUAUUUUUUAUUUUAAAAAAUAUUCAAAAUAUUAAAAUCGUCAAUCGUAGAGUUUUAUUUGAAAUAAUUGAUGGCCACUUCCCUCGCCACUGCUUGGUUGCAUAUGCCACUCAAAUUCAAUAUUUAAGAACAAGUUAUUCUAACAUAGAAUUAAAAAAAAAAAAGUGGAUCAUCUUAGUCUUUUUUGAAAAUUUCAUGAAACAUAAAAAAUUAAUUGUUUAAAACAAAUUUUAAUUCCUUAAAACUUUAAAGGAAUAAGAAAAUUUCAAAAUUGCAUAUUGAUUAGCAUUUUUUGCAAUAUAAUAAUGAUUAAUGACUCAAUCGUAUAAUAUAAUAUGUAUAGAUAUUCAUAUCUAUUAUAUUAUAACAGAUGGCCAAGGUACCGUGUACAAAGGGAUGCUAGCAGAUGGAGUAAUUGUUGCGGUCAAAAGGUCAUGGGAUAUGAGGAGUUCCCUUUACCAUGGGAAAUGAGAUUACAGAUUGCUGCUGAAACUGCCGAUAUCGGGACUUCAAGAUCACUCUCCGUUGAUCAAACUCAUUUAACGACUAAUUUGCAAGGCACCUUUGGUUACUUGGACCCAGAAUACCUUUGGUCCAGUCGGUAUACAGAUAAGAGUGAUGUCUAUAGUUUUGGAGUAGUUCUUGUUGAGCUCCUAACUGGACAAAAAGCAAUUCUUACAAACGAGUCACAAGAACCCAAAAACUUGGCUGCACAUUUUGUUCUUUUCAUGGAAGAGAACAGAAUUUUUGAUAUUGUUGAUGCUCAAAUUAAGGAGCACUGCCCCAAGGAGGAUGUCAUCGGUGUAGCUAAUAUUGCAAUGAGAUGCUUGAAUUUGAAAGGAAAAAAGCGACCGACAAUGAAACAAGUCACAUCAGAGUUGGAGAGGAUCAUUCAAUUGUCACAAAAUAACGAAGAAGCUGAGAGCAUCACGGCUGAAGUAAUAAGUGCGAGGGAUGAUGCUUCUACAUCAAUUACUUGCAGCAGUUUUCAAGUUGAUCAAGCUCUAUCAUCAUCUGAUGUCGAACCUUUGGUCCCUUUCAAGACUUGGUGAUCCAUUAAUAAGAAACGUGUCUUGACUCUGGAAGUUUUUCCUUUGUCUUUUUUCCUAAUGUUCUUGGAUAAACUUAAGACCAUUUGUUUCGGUAUUUGUUUUGCGAAAAUGCUUGAAGUCAUCGGUGUCACUGUUUUUUCUUCUAUAUAUAUCUUGCUCACGUUCUCUUAAUCUUAUUAUUUCUCUUCUCACCUUGGGAAAAUAUAGCAAAUCACAAGAAGAAAUGGAGUGAUCUUGGUGUGCCUAGAAAGGACAUCUUUGAAUGCUUGAGUUUCUGGGUCAUCCACUGAAGCAAAAUGGAAACUGGUUUUUUAGAGUCCCUCCUCAGAUUGUUGCUAAUGGCGCCAAAGGCUGGGAUUAUUGUCUUGUAGGCUAAUUUAUGGGUAAAAGUCCCAAGCUCUCCUCUGUUAUGCUGGCCAGAUGGUCCUGUAAAAAUAGUAUUAAGAUAUUGCAAGCCCAUUUCGAAGAAAUUAGAGAAAUUGAGAUCAAUAAGUUGAAUUUAAUUAGAUGAUAAAAGAAUAUGCAAGAACUGCGAACAAACAAUUCUAACAAAAAAAAAACCAUGAAACCAUGGGAAAAUAUUUAUAAAGAUUCAAAAUUAGAUAAAAAGGGAUAAAAAAAUCUAAGUCAACUCGAGAUAGUGCGAUAAAUAUAUAAUAUAGAUAAUAAUAGGCAAAACUUAUGACUCAUAUUAUAAGAUCAAGAUAAUUCUAUAUAAAAAAAAAUCAAAGAAAACAAAAGAGUUAAUUCUUAAAAAAAAAAAAACACUAAUGUUGAAUGAUGAUGAAAUAGAUAAUAAGGGGCGAGUCAACCUAUAGUUUUCCACAAAACUCAUAACCCAGGUCAUGAGAUUGGGAUAAUUCUAUAGAAAAAAAAUCAAAGAAAACAAUGAUAAAAUUAAAAAAGAAAAUAAGUAAAAAAAAAAGAUGUCAACUAACAUCAACUUUUUAAACAUGUGACCCGGGUUAUUAAACCGAAAGCAUCAUGCUUGGAAAAAUGGUGAAGCAUAAUCCUUAGCAAAUCAAACAUUGAAGAAUGAAAUAGGGGGAAAAAAUUAACAAUACAAAAGGAUCUAAAUUAAAAAAUGAUAAUUAAAAGAAUGAUGGUGAAAAUAAAAAUAAAUUAGAGGGCAAUUAAAUUUUUUUGAAUGGAGGGUUAAAUUUAAAAGAAAAAUAACUCUAACAAAAAAAUAAAAGAAUGUGGACCAAUGUUUUUUUUAAAAUAACACACCAUGACUUGGAUUGAAAGAUACAAUUGAAAACUAUUAAAAUUUUUAUAAAAGGACCAAUGAAAAAAUUAGAAAUUAAAAUAAUAAUGAUCAAAUUAAAAAAAAUUGACAAAUUAUAAUUAAAAGAAUACAUUGAAAAGAAAUAAAACUUAUGUAAAAGGGCCAAGGAAAAAACUAAGAAAUUAAAAGAGAAAGGACAUAAAUUUUUGGUUGGAGAGUUAAAUUUGAAAGAAAAAUAACUCCAACAAAAAAAAAAAAUAAAGACCAAAUUGAAAAUAAUAACACAAUAUAAACUUAAAAUUACCAGACAACGUCGUACGCUCUAGCAGUUUUUUAAAAUUUAAUGUUAAUUUUUUUUUUUUUUGUAAAAAUAUCUUAAUAUUCUUAAUAAAAAAACAACUUGAAUAAAUAAAAAACGCAUUGUAAGAUAUAAAACAAUCAUCAAAAGAUUUCAACUUAUACUCGAAACAACACAAAUCAUACAUUUAUUUUUGGUAUGUUGGUAGAUGAGAGAAUUUGUGGAGGCUUACCAAAAAAAAAAGAAUUUGUGGAGUACUUUGAUAAAGUCAACUUUUGGGGUUUUGCCCAGGCGUGUAUAUAUAUAAUUAUAUAUCCUGUAAUUUUGGAUUUUGACUGCGGCAACGGGGACUCUUUCUAGGUGGGACCCUAUUUUGUAAUUAUUUUAGAAUGUCUAAAUGAUUUAGAAUGUCUAAAUGGUUGAAGUCGUAGCUAGGGGAAAUAACCAUACGAGAUUAAUAAUACAGUGAAAGAGGUUUUUAAUAGAGGACAUAAACAUAGCUUAAAAAAAAAAAAUCCUGAUUAAUUUUUCUCUAGAGAAAUUACAAAGAAAAAGGUGUAAAUUUCGGACAGUCAAACAUGCUCAGCUUGACAUGUUCAGUGUUUGAGUAUACUACUAUAUAUGAGCCGAAGUCUUCUACAAAUCAUUUUCCUCACCAUAUUCAAAUACAAUAAAUCCAUAUUCAAUUCAUCGUUGCGUCUCACAUCACAUUUCGGAGAGAGUUGGUUCGGCGCUUCUUUGUAUACAUAUAUUAAGUUGGGUGGUGGUAUCUAGGAAAUGAUACUUCGGAGGUGGGUGUUUUUGCGUCAUUGUCUAAUGACUUAGGAUGGGAUAUUUUUUAAUAGGAUUAAAAUAAUAAUACAAGAAAAACAGAAUAUUUAAAAGAACUGGGAGCACAGACGUCGGUCUACAGCCGUUCCAUGCCAGCUGAUGUGAUCACCAUAAGAUAAUCAACGAAGAAGUUGAGAGGUCGGAGUAAGAGCAUCACAGAAAGGAGUAAAUAAAAAAAAUCAUCAAAAUAUAACAAUUAAAAAAACAAUUGAAAAACUAGCACCCUUUGAGUUUGUAUUAAUUAAUCUACUAAUCAAUAUACUCCUAAAAAUAUAUUUUUAAUAUUAUUAUAUUAAAAUGAUCUAAAAAUAUUAAAAAAUUAAUUUAAAGCACGUAGAAACAACAUUUUUAUUUUUUAAAAAAAAAAGUUUUGAAAUGAAAAAACAAAUGGACACUUGGUCCCUUGACCACUUCCAGGGAGCACUAGCGUGUAGUGUAUUCUGAGGAGGGAUUCUUGUCCUAUUGGUUUCUUUCACAUCAUUUAUUUUAGUCUAAUUACAUCACAUUUGGGUUAAUUUUGGAUUACUACUAAAGAAAGAUCAAAGAAAGGACACUCAAGACUUCAUUGACCUGAUCAUCACUGAAAUGCAUGCAAAUCUUGUUUUCAUUUGUAAUUUGCCUUCUAUUAAAUAGGGUGAGCAGAAGUAUUUUGCCUACAGCAUCUUCUAUCCUCGAGAAAAUGGGCAUGCUCAAAUUUAAAUAUCCUCAAGUUGGUUUUGGUAAGUAGGUUUCAUUUACAGGGCAAGGGGAAACACAAUCAAUGAAGCAGUUAUCAGGGGGUCAGAAAACUGUAGUAGCCCUGACAUUGAUAUUUGCCAUACAACGAUGUGAUCCUGCUCCCUUUUAUCUUUUUGACGAGAUAGAUGCAGCACUGGAUCCCCAGUACAGGACUGCUGUUGGAAGUAUCCUAUUUCCAUGUUGUUUUGCCAUCUCCCUAAAGCUUAAAUGGUUUCUAUUUUGUGGUCUUGUUUUGGCUAUUUAGCUAUUGUUUAUUCAUCAGAUGUAACCAUUGGAGGUGAUCCUUAAUUGCUUUGUUCGCUAGACAUGAUUCGUCGCCUGGCUGAUAUGGCCAACACACAAUUUAUAACCACCACUUUCAGGCCAGAACUUGUGAAGGUUGCUGACAAGUUAUAUGGGGUGACACACAAAAACAGUGUGAGCCGUGUCAAUGUUGUCUCUAAGGAAGACGCGCUAGAUUUUAUCGAGCACGAUCAAUCUCAUAAUGUCGAACGAGGUCGGACUAUUUUUAACACUAGCAUUUUCUUGUUUAUUUGAUAUUUUCAAUUGAUUUUAGUGAUGAACCAUUACUGAAAUGAUCUGAUUCAUCUUUAUGGCUGGUGCAGCCAAACUCUGAUGGUCUGACGGAGGGCUGAUAAAUCGAUCUAUACGAGGAUGCCGUGAUAAAUUUGUUUGCUGUUACCAUGUUCUAUAUUUUCUUUUCUGGAAUCUCAAGAUUGUAUAGAAAUAGAUGUUAAACAGCUCAGAGCUAUAUUAGCACAGCUUCUCAUGUCUUUCUUCAAUAUUAGCAUAGGAACUAGUUCAGUAUCAAAAGUGAUGGAAACCUUGGAGAUCUGCAGCUGUGCGGAUGUUUUACCUAGCCAAGUAUACAAACCAUGUUUUUCAAUAUGUUUUGUUAUUUACAUUUUGGAAAAAUUCUCUUUCUCGGCACUGUUGCUGAAUGGAUUUCUACCGCUUCUAGUUGCAUUCUCCCAAUUAAAAUUCAUGCACAAGUUUUCUAUCGCUUCUAGAUGAAUUCUUCUCAUUUCAGUUAACCUUCCUGAACGGUGUUUUGAAUGUUUUCCCACUACAAAAGCAGAUCGAGCAAUCUCUGCUGUCUAUGACAAUCUUGAUGCUAUUAAGGGUUCAGCAGAUACCGAUGAGUCCAUUAUUCUUCAUCAGCAUUGGUAGCAAUGAUAUUCUUAGUUAUUACCAUUCAAACACUAGUGUACCCGAGCAAGAGUUCAUGUCUGCUUUGGAAUUUGAAUGCGAGAAACACUUGAGGAUAAGGUCCUCCUCUUUCCUGUCUGUUUGGUCCAUAAUUCUAUCAUAUUGUUCAAAAGCAUACUGAAUAAACUUUUCUGCCCUGUUGAUUUUUGCAAAACCUACGUAAGCUUGGAGUAAGAAAGAUUGCUGUGGAGUUAAGAGGUCCGCGGUGAAGGCAUCUGCGACAAAAUGCAAAUCUCUGCUGGAAUCGCCAUGAAUAUUAAUUUCAAAGAAUUGGCUGAGGCAUGGUUAGCCAAAACUAGUUCUUAAAGAUCCCUCCACGACAGUAAUUAUAAGAGCAUCUUCUAGGAAUUAGCCAAAUAAAAAAUAAUGAUUUUAAUCUCUUAUUUUUACGGCUUCAAGGGAAGAGCUGCAUUGGAGAGUUUAAAAUAAGAGUUAUUCCUCUGUAUUUAUUAAAAGUGCUAAAAUUUUAUUUAAUAUAUUUUUAUGCAAAAAAAAGGAGUUUUGAUUAAGAUCUUGUGUUAAUUAAUUACAAUUAAUAAAUAGUUUUUUUAAUAUCAAAUAUAUUAAAAUACAAUUGAUUUUUCUAAAAGAUUUUUUUGACAAUUAAUUAAAGUGUACAUAUAGAAAUAAAGAAAAACUACAUUCACAAUAUUCAAAAACCUAUUUUAUUAAAAUAGUAUCUCCCCUUGUAUCAUUAUUACAUGCUUGUACAGUGUGUCAGUAUAGUUUAUGUCAUUACGAACUUAAAUUUGUAAACCAUAUUCUAUUUUCUCUUAAUGACUUCAAUUGAUUCAUCAAUCUAGGUCUCCACAAAUAGCAAAUAAUAAAUUAUGAUGUAAUUGUAAAUCUUUCUAAAAUUGUAUGAUGCAAUUAUAGUUUUAGAAUCUGGCAUGACCCGGCAGGUCGACACAGGAUCCGGUCAAUUUAGGGCUAAAACAUGGUCGAAUUAAAAAACAAUAGGGUAAAGAAAAACUCGGUAUUAUUACCUAGUAAAAAACAUGAUUGCAAUCUAUUAAUUUUUAUUUUUUUUAUUUAAAAUAAUAUUAUUUUGAUUUUUUAAAAAAAAUAACUCGACUAACCGGCUAAAAUUAAAUAAGCUGAUUAAAAUUUAAAACCUAAAUAUUGAAGUAGGCUGGAUCUAAAUUAUAAAUACAAUGAUUAAGUUGUUGACGUGGACGUAAAGCAGAUAUGUUUUAUAGAUGAGGUAGACAAAAUGAAAUUUUCUUUUCCCUGUCUGUUUCUCCUAAUGGUUUCUUUCACAUCAUUUAUUUUAGUCUUCAUGAUUCAUUAAUUAUUGGGGCCUCAUUGACUCAUGACUUCGGAUGGGAUAUUUCCGAACUUGAAAGAAUAUAAAUCUAAAUACAAUAAAUCUAAUUACGUCACAUUUGGGUUAAUUUUGGAUUGCUACAGAAGAAAGAUCGAACAAAGGACUCGCAAGACUUCAUUGACCUACAAGGUAGCUAAGAGAGAUUUCGACUAUUAACCAAAAAAAAGACUUCAUUGACCUGAUCAUCUCGGAAUUGGUCAUAUGAUGAGUGUUUUCUGUCAAUCUCUCUUAGCUAUAUAUUGUCUACCAGGAAAUGAAGCUGCACAAUUAAAAAUUAGUGGGAGAGAGUUGGUUUGGAGAAGGAGCUUCUUUGUAUACAUAUAUUAAUUUGGGUGGUGGUGUAUAGAAAAUGAUACUUCAGGGAUAUUUUCCAGUAGGAUUAAAAAAAAAAUACAAGAAAGACAGAAUAUUUAAAAGAACUGGGACCACAGACGUGGGUCUACACCAGUUACAUGCCAGCGGAUGUGGUCACCAUAAGAUAAUCAACGAAGAAGUUGAGAGGUCGGAGUAAGAGCAUCACAGAAAGAAGAGUGGCUGAACCAAGAGGGUUUUUUUUUAACACAGUAAAUUCUUAAUUACAUUUCAGGUCUUAGAAUAUAUUUAAGAGGGAAUUUCAUUCAGAUUUCAAAAUUCGUAGGCAUAUCAUGGGCUGAAAAUGACGUGGGAAAGGUGCUGCCAAAGCUCCCAUUUCCACGUUAAAUCUCUCCCAUUCCUGAGAUAAUUAAAGAUAUCAUUUAGUAAUUUUGGUGCCAGUGAUUUACUUCCAGUUUGCCAUUGUUUUACCUUAUGUUUUUCAAAGUGUUUUUCAUUAAAAUAUAUAUCAAAAUAUUUGGCUGGUGCAGCCAAACUCUGAUGGUCUGACGGAGGACUGAUAAAUCGAUCUAUACGAGGAUGCCGUGAUAAAUUUGUUUGCUGUUACCUUGUUCUAUAUUUUCUUUGCUGGAAUCUCAAGAUUGUAUAGAAAUAGAUGUUAAACAGGUCAGAGCUAUAUAUAUUAGCACAGCUUCUCAUGUCUUUCUUCAAUAUUAGCCUAGGAACUAGUUCAGUAUCAAAAUUGAUGGAAACCUUGGAGAUCUGCAGCUGUGCGGAUGUCUUACCUAGGCAAGCAUGCAAACCAUGUUUUUCAGUAUGUUAUGUUAUUUAAAUAUUGGAAAAAUUCUCUUUCUCGACACUGUUGCUGAAUGGAUUUCUAUCAGCCUUCAUGUCGCGCUUCUAGAUGCUUUCUCCCAAUUCAAAUUCAUGCACAAGUUUUCCUUUGGGUACGAAGUAAUAUUCCACGAAAAUCAUUUUUCUCACAGUCGCCUCCCGCUUAACCGGCGCGAGCAUGUGUUCUCGAUGAAGUCCAUGGCACUACAGUUUUUCAAAGAGGUAUGAAAGCCUUUUCAACCCCUGUUGUGAAUGCUAGUGCUUUGAGCUAGUUUCUCCACUUUGCUGAAAUCCUAGUUUAAUGCUAUUUCUUGAAAUCACAUGCAACUCUCACCUACGUAGAAAAGGUGUUCAAUUACUUGAGGUCAAGGAAAGUCUUGAGUGUUUGACAGCGUAUGAUCUUCUACGAAUUACUAGCAUGUAAUAAAAAAAGAAAAGAAUCUUGAAAGAAGAAAUCGUAUGCAUGGCUUGUCCUCUGCUUUGUUGCAAGCAAAACAUCCCUUUUGAGUAAAGACGGCGAGGGCUUGUUUGGAAACGCUGCUGUUUCAAUCGAUUAAAAAAACAAUUGUUCAUUCUCAAAACGAUUAAAAAAAAAAAGAAUUCAAAAACCUUUAAAAACGCUCUGUGAAAAGAGAAAACAAACACGCUUUAUGUUCAUAAUUCCCAAGAAGUAAAUCUUCCAAUGAGGAAAAGGGAACCUGGCUUGCAGAAACAAUAAAAUAUUCCAAAAUGGCUGCCUAUGUGGUGGGGUAUGCCGAUAGAACUGUAUUCUAAGGAGGGACUUUUCUUCUCAUUGCCUGUUUCUCCUAUAGUUUCCUUUCCUUCACAACAUUUGUUUUAGUCUUCAGGCCUCAUUGACUAAUGACUUAGGAUGGGAUAUUUUCCAAUAGAAUUAAAAAAAAAAUACAAUAAAGACUGAAUUUUCCAAAAGAAUUGGCCUCAGAUUUCAAAAUUUGGAGGCAUAUCACGGGCUGAAAAUGACCUGGGAAAGGUGCUGCCAAAGCUCCCAUGUCCACGUUAAUCUUUUUCCCAUUCCUGAGAUAAUUAAAGAUAUCAUUUAGUAUUUUUGGUGCCAGCUAUUCACUUCCAGUUUACCUUGUUUUAUUUUUAAAAGUUUUUUUUAUUAAAAAUAUAUAUUAAAAUAUAUUUUUUUUAUUGCAUGAAAAAUAUAAUGUUUGGGUAAUUGGUUCAAAUGAGUUUAAUAAAGUUAGUUAAUUUAAUAAUAUUAUUAAAAAAAUAAGAUUUCAACAAAAAAUAAUACAAAAAAUAAACUUUUACCGAUAUAAUAAAAAUAUAUCUUCACAAUAUUCCCAAAAUAUCUCAAUAAUCUUAUUUAUUAACAAAGUAAAAAUUAAAUGAGAAUAUAAUAAUUAUAUAAAAAAAUAAAAAAAUAUGAAUAAAUAAAAUUAAAUAUAAAAUCAAUUAUUAAUAAUUUUUUAAAUUAUAAUCCGAAUUAUAAAACUGAAAGCAAUAAAAUUGAAUGUUGCUAAUGGCCCCAAAGUCUGCGAUUAUUGUCUUGUGGGUUAAUUUAUGUGUAAAGUCGCAAGCUCUCCACUGUUUCGGCCGUGGCAAAUACUCUAUGGAGCCCGGCUGGUCUUGUUGAAGUUUACUAUGAUAAAGUUAUUGAGGAAAGAGAAGUAAAUUUUCCAUACCCAUUUUUAUUGAGGAAAAAGAAUCUUAGCUUGCAGAAACAAGAAAAUAUUUCAACAUGGCUGCCUUUGUGGGAUAUAGUGUAUUCUAAGGAGGGACUUUUCUUUUCCCUGUCUGUUUCUCCUAAUGGUUUCUUUCACAUCAUUUAUUUUAGUCUUCAUGAUUCAUUAAUUACAUGGGUCUCAUUGACUCAUGACUUCGGAAAGAAUAGAAAUCUAAAUACAAUAAAUCUAAUUACGUCACAUUUGGGUUAAUUUUGGAUUGCUACAGAAGAAAGAUCGAAGAAAGGACUCGCAAGACUUCAUUGACCUGAUCAUCUCGGAAUUGGUCAUAUGAUGAGUGUUUUCUGUCAAUCUCUCUUAGCUAUAUAUUGUCUACCAGGAAAUGAAGCUGCACUAUUAAAAAUUAGUGGGAGAGAGUUGGUUUGGAGGAGGAGCUUCUUUGUAUACAUAUAUUAAGUUGGGUGGUGGUGUCUAGAAAAUGAUACUUCAGGGAUAUUUUCCAGUAGGAUUAAAAAAAAAAAAAAUACAAGAAAGACAGAAUAUUGAGGAAAGAGAACCUUAGCUUGCAGAAACUAGAAAAUAUUCCAAUAUGGUUGCCUUUGUGGGGUAUAGUGUAUUCUAAGGAGGGACUUUUCUUUUCCCUGUCUGUUUCUCCUAUUGGUUUCUUUCACAUCAUUUAUUUUAGUCUUCAUGAUUCAUUAAUUAUUGGGGCCUCAUUGAGUCAUGACUUCGGAUGGGAUGUUUUCCGAACUUGAAAGAAUAGAAAUCUAAAUACAAUAAAUCUAAUUACGUCCCAUUUGGGUUAAUUUUGGAUUGCUACAGAAGAAAGAUCGAAGAAAGAUCGAAGAAAGGACUCGCAAGACUUCUCUCUUUGCUAUAUAUUGUCUAACAGGAAAUGAAGCUGCACAACUCAAAAUUAGUGGGAGAGAGUUGGUUUGGAGAAGGAGCUUCUUUGUAUACAUAUAUUAAGUUGGGUGGUGGUGUCUAGAAAAUGAUACUUCAGAAGAGGAGGGUGUUUUUGCUGAUGAUGUUGCUACUAGUGGCUGCAGUAACAGGAGCAACAGCAAAUCCAGAUGUGAAACCUGGCUGCCAAGAAAGGUGUGGGGAUGUUAUUGUUCCUUACCCGUUUGGGAUUGGGGAACAAAGAUGUGCCAUGAAUAAACACUUCUUUCUACAUUGCAAUUCCACUGAUGGUGGUCAUCAUAAACUGUGUGGUUUGGAAAGAACAUGCCUGCUCGCAAUAUAUCAUUGCUGAAUGGCACCGUCACUGUAGGCAUUUUAGCAUCGUUCGAUUGCUAUGACAAGUCAGGGGGACAGUCGCUGCUUUCCAAUCAGUCUAUCUCACUUGGACCAGCCUACACAUUUUCAGACUCUCGAAAUGUGCUCACAGCAGUUGGUUGUGAUACCGCUGCCACGGUGACCAACAAGGAGGAGACAUUCGGGGCUGCUUGUUUCUCUUUAUGCACUGUAAAUGUUACCAUGUCAAAGAAUAAUUCCUGCUCAGGUUCUGGAUGCUGCCAGACCUCGAUUCCCAAGGGUCUCAAGUCUCUGAAUAUUACCAUUGGGAGCUUUAACAAUCACGAUGAUGUUUCCGAAUUUAACCCCUGUAGCUUUGCAUUCCUUGAGGACAAAGACUCCCUUGACCUGUCGGAUUGGCCACUCUCUCGUACUCCAAAACAAAAUAAUGAUACAUCAAAUGUUGUGAUCGAAUGGGUAGCUCAAAACGAGACAUGCGAAAGGCUCGGGCCAAUAAGAGUUCAUAUGCUUGUGGCAUCAAUACAAAUUGCAAUUACUCUGAUAAUGGUCAAGGAUAUCGUUGCGCAUGCAAUGCAGGAUUCGAAGGAAACCCAUAUCUUGAACAAGGAUGCCAAGGUAAAGCGACAGAUGCCUUGAGUAGUUACGUAAUUGAAAUUAAAAGAUUGUUCAUUCUUAUUCUCAGAUAUUGAUGAAACAAAACAACUUCUAAAUGCGUAGAACUUUUCUAGAAUUUAUAUUCGUGUAGACUAAAUUGUAUUGAAUUAAGGUAAACUCAUAAUUUGUUAUGUUUGCAGAUAUUGAUGAGUGCAAGUAUCCUGAAAAAUACACAUGUUAUGGUAAAUGCCACAACACCAUUGGGGAUUACGAAUGUAAAUGUUUUCUUGGCAUGCAUGGUGAUGGCAAAGUAGGUUGUCAAGGAUUUGCUAUCACUACCAUUAUAGCAGGUAAAUGUCCUUUGCAUUUUUCUUCUAUACCAGUGGUUGCUAUUGCUUGCUUUGACUGCUUCCAGAGCUCCAUCUUUUAGUACUCAGGGAACCAAUAAGCUCCUGCUAUUGGAUUCUGCUUUGCAUGAGAUUAGCAUAGCCACUAAAUAUGGCAUGGAAACGUUUCUGUUCAAGAGAUUCAUUUGUUUUCCGUUGAUUUUCUGUAUGCAGUCAUAGGCGCCAUAGUUUCCCUGGUGAUUAUUUGUCUAUUGCUCUUCAUGAUCUUGAGUAAAAGAAGAAAGGACAAGAACUUCAGAGAAAAUGGGGGAACGGUUUUAAAGCAUCAAAGAGUAAGGAUUUUCAGUGAGGCAGAGCUGACAAAAGCAACCGACAAUUAUGAUGAUGAUAAAAAAAUCGGGGAAGGUGGUUUCGGUUCAGUUUACAAAGGAGUUUUAGCAGACAAUACAGUAGUUGCUGUCAAGAAGUCCAAGGGGGUGGACAAAGCUCAGAUGAACGAGGAUUUCCAACAUGAAAUCUGCGUUGUUUCACAGGUCAACCACAAGAACGUGGUAAAACUCCUGGGCCUGUGCUUGGAGACCAAAGUGCCAUUACUAGUUUACGAGUUCAUCUCAAAUGGAACCCUUUUCAAGCACAUCCAUGACAAAAGGUCACAGGUAUUGGCUUCCUGGAGCAAUCGUCUGAGGAUUGCAUCGGAGGCUGCUCUUGCGCUUGAUUAUUUGCACUCUCUAGCAGACCCUCCAGUUAUUCACGGAGAUGUCAAGUCGGUGAACAUUCUAUUAGACGAUAAUUACACGGCAAAGGUAGCAGAUUUUGGAGCUUCGGUGCUUAUUUCUCCAGGCCAGACCAAUAUUUUAGCCACGAAAAUACAAGGAACUUUCGGCUACCUGGAUCCAGAGUAUCUUAUGACGGGUAAUUUAACAGAAAAAAGUGAUGUGUAUAGCUUUGGGGUAGUUCUUGUGGAGCUUCUCACAGGGGAGAAGCCAAACUCAAAUGCCAAGUCAGGAAAUAAACGGAACAUUAUUCAGUACUUCAACUCAGCAUUGGAAAAUAAUGAUCUUUUUGGAAUUUUGGAUUUUCAAGCAGCUGAUGAAGCUGAGAUGAAUGAGAUAGAAACUGUUGCUGAGCUUGCUAAAAGAUGCCUGAAUAGCGUAGGAGUAAACCGUCCAUCCAUGAAGGAAGUGUCCGAGGAGCUUGCUAAGCUGAAAGCCUUUAAUCAGAAAUCAUGGACCCAGCAAAAUAGCGAUGAG
rnacentral:lncRNA from 1 species